UACGUAGGGACCGAGCGUUGUCCGGAAUUAUUGGGCGUAAAGAGCUCGUAGGCGGUUUGUUGCGUCGGCCGUGAAAACCUGCAGCUUAACUGUGGGCCUGCGGCCGAUACGGGCAGACUUGAGUUCGGUAGGGGAGACUGGAAUUCCUGGUGUAGCGGUGAAAUGCGCAGAUAUCAGGAGGAACACCGGUGGCGAAGGCGGGUCUCUGGGCCGAUACUGACGCUGAGGAGCGAAAGCGUGGGGAGCAAACAGG
rnacentral:rRNA from 1 species